UGGGGAAUUUUGGACAAUGGACGCAAGUCUGAUCCAGCCAUUCCGCGUGCAGGAUGAAGGCCCUCGGGUUGUAAACUGCUUUUGUACGGAACGAAAAGGUUUCUAUUAAUACUAGGAGCUCAUGACGGUACCGUAAGAAUAAGCACCGGCUAACUACGUGCCAGCAGCCGCGGUAAUACGCAGGGUGCCAGCGUUAAUCGGAAUUACUGGGCGUAAAGCGUGCGCAGGCGGUUAUAUAAGACAGAUGUG
rnacentral:rRNA from 1 species